rnacentral:snRNA from 1 species
GUGCUCAUUUUGGCAGGACAUAUACUAAAAUUGGAAUGAUACAGAGGAGAUUAGCAGGGCCCCUGUGCAAAGAUGAGUGGAAAUUCAUGAAAUGUUCCACAUUAAA